GGAUGACUCUGACUCCGUACUGAGAACUCUGUCCCGAACUACAGGACUUGCAGCUUCGUUUCGGUGACGGGACACAGAAUGUGAAUGGUUUGCAUCAUAAAACUUCUUGAUGCGUUUCUGAGCCAUGACUGAGCCGCUCCAUGAUGUUCACCCAGGACAGAGAGGAUCUCUCAACUCCACUCCAUCAACCCCCUGAGAUGAAUUACCUUUCCCUCAGAUCCAACCACCUGGACCUCGCUGACCGGUACGGUGUCCACCAGUCCACAGUCAGCCGGAUCAUCGAAGCACGGACCAACUUUUUAUUUACAGUAAAUUAGGUUCUGGAAACCAGAGGACCAGAUAUGCCUGCAGACUUUAAUAGGUACCCUGACACCUGACACUGCAGUCAUCCUGGACUGAGCUGAGCCGCUCUCCCCUUCUGCUCCACAGUGACGUGUUUUCAUCACUAGUAAAGGCAAAGAAGUCUGAAGUAUCUUGUCUGACAUCUAUGAAGUAUAUUAUAUAUUCACUGUUCAUUUUGUUAUCCUGUUUGUACUUACAAUAAAAAGUCAUCUCUUUUGUAA